UUAACACACACCGUCCUCCUCUCUGACGCACACACACUCUCCUGAAAACACACUUUAAACUUUUCAUUCAUUAAACCACCAUCAUGGAUCUGGACCCGACCGUCGUCAUUCCCGCCAUCCUUUUCACCGUCGUUGCCAUUUAUUUCGCUUCGUCGCUCCUCAGCAAGAAGCCCGACGCCUCCUCCUCCUCAGCCGGGAACAAGAAGCCUAAAGUCGGCUACGGAGACGACAUCCCUCCGUCCAGAGCUCUGGGAGAGCAGCUCCGACCCGAGCCUGAAGUCUCCCCGCGGCCAGAACCUCCGGCUCCGGCUGUGGAGGACAUCGGAGCCGCUGAGAAGAUCCAGGACGUCCCGGUCGCACAAGUGAAGGCUGUCCCAGAACCAGUAUCAGCACCAGAACCUGUCCAGGAACCAGUGUCAGAGCCAGAACCUGUUCCAGAACCAGCAAAAGUACCAGAACCUGUCACAGUACCAGAGACUGUUCCAGAACCAGUAUCAGCACCAGAACCAGUCCAGGAACCAGUAAAAGUACCAGAGACUGUUCCAGAACCAGUAUCAGAGCCAGAACCUGCCCCAGAACCAGUAAAAGUACUAGAGACUGUUCCAGAACCAGUAAAAGCACAAGAAGUAGCUGCAGUACCAGAACUUAUUCCAGAGCCAGAAACUGCACAGGAGCCAGUAUCAGUACCAGAACCAGUCCCAGAACCAGCUGCAGCCCCAGAACCAGUGUCAGCCCCAGAACCAGCCCCAGAACCAGUGUCAGCCCCAGAACCUGCCCCAGAACCAGCUGCAGUCCCAGAACCUGUAGCUGUGCCUGAUCCAGAUCCUGUGGUCCAGUCUGAACCGGUACCUGAAGCGGUCCCUGAGCCUGUGGCUGAACCAGAGAAGGUUGUGGAGGAGUCUUUACCCGAGCUGGUCCUUGGGUCGACAGAAGACCUGCCGGGCCCUGAACCUGCUGUAGAGGCCUCACCAGAACCUGAACCAGAACCUGAACCGGAGACCGUCCUCAACAACGACGUGGCUGCAGCUGAAGAUAAAGUGAAGUUCACUCCAGGAAAGAAACAGAGCAAGUUUGAGACGCUGAUGACCAAGGAGGAGAUCGAGGAGGAGCAGAGGGUAGAGCUUACCUCAGACUUUACCUCUCUGUAAUCCAGCUGAGACACAGUGUUAGGAAGCAGAUGGUAAGGUGAUGUUUCUACCUCCAGUCCUCCCCUCUGAUCAACCCGACCCCCCCACAGCUGAUCUGUGAAGACGAAGAGGAGGAGGAGGAGGAGUGAAGGACGAACCUGAAACCUUCAGCUAUGCAGUUUUGUAGGGAUUUAAAAACCUGCCUGUCUUUAUUUUACUUCACUUCUUUCAGGCCUGCAAACGUCUUUACACCAAAGUGCCUUCAGGAGUUUUUCUUUUUUUACAGUCUGCUUCUUAGUGUCGAAGAAUUUCAGGCGUCAAAGCUUGAAGUGGAGGAGGCGCUUUAAGAGAAACAGUGUGUGUGGUGAUUGUGAUGAACGGGUGGAGGAAGGGUCGUGUGACAGUGUUUAGCCUGUUCAGUGUGAUCCGACAGGAAGUUAACGACAAGCUCUCAGCCCUCGUGUUCCCUCUGCUGUUCCUGAAGAACCACAAAGUAAAACAAACGUCCCUUCAGGUGGAUUUUCUUCUGAGUUUGGUUUAAAUGUUGAAAUAAAUGAAAUAAAUGUGUGA